UGGGGAAUAUUGCACAAUGGGCGCAAGCCUGAUGCAGCCAUGCCGCGUGUAUGAAGAAGGCCUUCGGGUUGUAAAGUACUUUCAGCGAGGAGGAAGGCGGUAAGGUUAAUAACCUUAUCGAUUGACGUUACUCGCAGAAGAAGCACCGGCUAACUCCGUGCCAGCAGCCGCGGUAAUACGGAGGGUGCAAGCGUUAAUCGGAAUUACUGGGCGUAAAGCGCACGCAGGCGGUCUGUCAAGUCGGAUGUGAAAGCCCCGGGCUCAACCUGGGAACUGCAUUCGAAACUGGCAGGCUAGAGUCUUGUAGAGGGGGGUAGAAUUCCAGGUGUAGCGGUGAAAUGCGUAGAGAUCUGGAGGAAUACCGGUGGCGAAGGCGGCCCCCUGGACAAAGACUGACGCUCAGGUGCGAAAGCGUGGGGAGCAAACA
rnacentral:rRNA from 1 species